CCACUCUGGAGAGUCUCCCUCAAGGGGAGCGCCGAAGGUGUAAGGCCGGGCCUUUUGGGCUCUGACCGAUCUCUCAGGCAAAAGGACAGGGCA
rnacentral:ncRNA from 1 species